rnacentral:tRNA from 1 species
GCACUGGUGGUUCAGUGGCAGGAUUCUCUCCUCCCACACGGGAAACCCGGGUUCUAUUCCUGGCUAAUGCA